rnacentral:rRNA from 1 species
AUUGAACGCUAGCGGGAUGCCUUACACAUGCAAGUCGAACGAGUGGCGAACGGGCGAGUAAUGUAUCGGUACGUGCCCAGUAGCGGGGGAUAAGUACGCGAAAGGGAGCUAAUACCGCACACUAUUGGAGCGGCCGAUAGCGGAUUAGCUGGUUGGUGGGGUAACGGCUCACCAAGGCGCCGAUCCGUAGCUGGUUUGAGAGGAGGACCAGCCACACUGGGACUGGGACACGGCCCAGACUCCUACGGAAGGCGGCAGUGGGGAAUUUUGGACAAUGGGGGAAACCCUGACCCAGCCAUCCCGCGUGUGCGAGGAAGGCCUUCGGGUUGUAAAGCACUUUUGUCAGGAAGGCGGUACCUGCAGAAGAAGCACCGGCUAACUACGUGCCAGCAGCCGCGGUAAUAC